AAGCAAUAUAUUAAUGAUGACAAUAUUUUAAUGAAUACUAACAAGGUCACAAAUAACACUAAUAACAAUGACAGUUCCGGACUGUAUAACUCAUCCUACAAUAGUAAUGCGCAUGAUGAAUUGCAAAAUAAUAAUAAUAAUAAUAAUAGUAAUAAUAUAAAUGAUAUGAAUGAUAUAAUGAACAAUUACACUUCACCAAUAAAAAGAAAAUAUGAAGCAAUCGAAAAUAUAAAUAAAAGCAAAGAAACUGAGAAUAAAGAUAUGAAAAAUUUUAAUAAAAAAAUUGCACCUGUAAAUUGUAAUUUUAAUAAUAAUUUAGAUUAUCAUAAAAAUUUUGUGAAUUUAAAUAAUACUUUAAAUAACAAGCAGGAAGAUUCAAAUAAUUAUAAUAACAAUUUAUAUAUGAGUGAAAGACUAUAUAGCAAUACUAACAAUAAUAAUAAUAAUAAUAAUAAUAAUAAUAAUUUAAUUAAUAAAAGUGCAAAUAUAAAUAGGUUUUUAGCUACCAACCAUGAAGAUGCCAAAUUAAACAAGUAUAACAUAAACCGCAAAACAGUUCAGGUUGAAACAAGGUCAGGAAUGACAUUAAAGGGAAAUAUAGCUGUCAGUAUGAACGCUAACCGAAUUAAUAAAGGUAACAACAGCAUCGGUUGUAACAAAAUCGGCAAUAAUAACAUCAUUAGUAAUAACACACUUAACUCUAAUCCACUUGAAAGAAAUUACAGUAACUAUGACAAAAUAAAAAAAAAAGAUGCUUUUUUAAAUGACUAUAACUACGAAGCGAGUUAUAAUUAUUAUCAACCUGAAAAUGCUAACCCCUUAGAUUUAGAGAUUUUUAAGAAUAAAAAUGGAAAUAUAAAUGGAAAUAAAAUUGACGUUUCUAAUUCCGACAUGAAUACAAGCGGUUAUUUGAAUGAUAGUGGUGUGAAAAAUUAUAAAAAUGAGAAUUUUAAUAAUAACUCUUUCUAUGACUUUAACAACUCUUUUAUAAAAAUGAAUCAGUUUCAAAAACAAACAAAUCACUUAACUGAUACUAACAGUGAUAAAAUAUUGAAUAAUUCAAAUAACCAUAAUGAUUUUACAAAAUCGUGUUCAUUUGAUAGAAUGAGUGAAGAGAAUUUUAAUUAUUAUGUGAAAAGAAAAUCCCAAAAUAAAUAUGAUGCUAUCAAUAAAAAUAGAAACACGAUCAAAGAAGUAACUACAUCAUACAAUAAUGUUAAUAAUCACUCUAAUGAUAACAACAUUAGUAAUAGUACUACUACAAAUAAUAAUAAUAUCAAUGGAAAUAGAAACAUAACACCUAGUCGAGCUUCGAUAAAAAUUAAUAAUUUACAAGUAAGUCAAGA
rnacentral:lncRNA from 1 species